UACGUGGGCAGCGAGCGUUGUUCGGAGUUACUGGGCGUAAAGGGUGUGUAGGCGGUUGUUUAAGUUUGGUGUGAAAUCUCCCGGCUCAACUGGGAGGGUGCGCCGAAUACUGAGCGACUAGAGUGCGGGAGAGGAAAGUGGAAUUCCUGGUGUAGCGGUGAAAUGCGUAGAUAUCAGGAGGAACACCGGUGGUGUAGACGGCUUUCUGGACCGUAACUGACGCUGAGACACGAAAGCGUGGGUAGCAAACAGG
rnacentral:rRNA from 1 species